CAUAAAUCCUCCAGCUCAUGCAAGGCUGCUCCACGCCAGGGGAGACAAGAGGCACCUGAGCUGCAACCGCUGGUCAGCACUGGAGGGGAAAAGCAAAGGCAUGAAAAUGCAGAACCUGAACUUUGGAACGAGCCUUCGCACUUGCAGUGGGUGGAGGCUGGAGCAGACCGAAGGCAGCGGGAGAAGAGAGAAUCCAGGUUCUCUCAGCAGCUCAGAGCAGGAAUAUUUUCCGUUGCACGUUCAGACACAUUAUUAGGACAAUCUGGAAGGAAGUACUGAACCCCACAAGCAUGUGAUUUUGGCCCGCGUUCCAGCAGGAAGCCAGAUGUGCUGGGAACUGCAGCAGCUCCAGCUGACGUAAGGACCCAGCACAGCUCCACUGCUGCUACCAGACGACAAGGAAGACCAAUAAGACCCAGUAAAAGAGCUCUGUUUGCUGGAAACUGCCCAGUUGAACUUCCCCUGUCCCAAACCUGAAAUUCCAGAGGGCUGGUCUGUGCAGGGCUCCACACGGGACAGGCAUCAGGAGAUGAAGUAACGUGUGAACUUGCAGCCCCAGGUGCUCUGUGGCACCGUCCUGCUGCGCAUUCAUUCGUCAUGCUCUCACCUCAGCAAGUGACAAAUGUGUUUCCCGGAGGAACCCGCUGCCAUGCCCUGCCCCAUCCAUCACACUGGACUUGGGUUAGUGUCUAAAGCACAUACAUUUCUUGGGGCUACAGGUCUGUAAUGCACAGGUCAUUUAUUCAUCCCCCUUCACCCUCCAAUGGCCUCUGGACUGAAAAUCCUUGCAUAGCUGAGGUACAGAAGCUAAAACUGCAGACCAGGGCCUGGGGGACUCUCUUCCCCCUCCCCAGGGAGUGCCAGGCAGUGAAGGAACCACACACCAUUGACUCAGUGUUUAAAUACUGCUGCUGUGAGCAUUGCUGCCACCGGAAAGAAGUCUGCACAUCAAGUCUCAGCUAAUUUUAUCCAAGGCAGGGUUUAUCCCAGGUUCCUUCAAGCAAGCUUGUACCUCAUUCCUCAGCUGCACAAGGUGUUGUUUCCCUGCAGACUGUUGGUCUCCCCACACGUGUCUCUGUUCCAAGGGUGAUCAGCAGGUGUACAAAGGGGCAGAGCUGUUGCAUCCUCCCCAGGCACUGCACUUUGGGGAUCCCAGCACCCACCUGCACAACCUGCUGGCUAAGAAAUAGCAUUUGUGAAAGGAAACCCACUGUGCUUCAGAUGGCAGGUAAAAGACCACCUUCAGUAGGUCAUUAGAGUAAGUUUUCCAUUCACAGUUAGGCUCCAUGAUUAAUACUUGUAUUAUUUAUAUUCCUGUUUUCUUGGGUCACUCUUUAUCCCUUGGUCCCAGCUAGGUCUGGUUUACUUGUUUUCCUCAGCUGUGCAGGGGAGGAUAGUCAGACACGGCUUUGCCUCCACCCUCUGGGCAGUGACCUUUCCAAAUUCCUGCUGUAUUUAGCUUUUGGAGCUAUUAAACCCAGGUAUCUCCCACUUUUUAUUAACUGUGAAGCCAGCACUUUCUGACCACUCGGAAAAAGCAAAUUCCCCAAUAACCUUGAAGUGGAAGGGACUGUGAUUACCCAGAUUUACCCAAAUUUACAGUUAAAAUCAAAAUACCCGAUUUUGCUGUCCUAAAAACCACCGAUUUUAGAAAGUUUUAACAAUUCCCUAUUUCAGCAUCAAUAACAUUAAAAGACCUGCAAGAGCACAACUGGCUGGCUCUUACUAGGUUGCUGCUCAAGUACUGGGGUGGACACAGUCAUUAUUGUGGGGCUCUUACAAAAACUCUUCAAGGAUGAACUACAGCCUAUGGCACUGUCAGGCAACGUCCACAUUUCACUGCAGAUACCAUUAAACCAGCUCUCGGGACUCUGAUGUUCCUCCAUCAAACUGCAUCUUCCGGCUGAAGCCUCCACAGCAGCUGAACAGCCCUAACCUUGACUGCACUUGGGUUUGUUUGGUUUGUCCUUCGGUUCUGUUUCAGCAAAAAGGUAAUCUGAAGGGCACAAAAAUUACACCCAGGCCUUGUAGACUAGAACAAUGGCCAGAUUAAACUAAGCGAUUAGUAAAAGAUUUCUUCACCUGCCUUAUUAAAUGAGCUCAAUGUUCACACAAGCUGAGCUGCUGCAGUGUUGCAGAAUUGACAUCCAGCACUUCUGAAAAAUCAGGCACCGUGUCAAAUGGUAUUUACACUGAAGGAAUAUUUAACCUCUGACUAAUGCUGCCUUUUACUCCAUAUUUCAUAGUGGCUAGACAGUAGAUCUGCACCGGCCAAUUUCUCUUUCUGCUUGUAAUUAGCUUCACUUUUCUGCUCUCCUGAACAAGCAUUAGAUUUUCCUCUAGGAGUGUAAUCCUGAUCUGCAGGAAACCUUUCUUUACUGAGAUGCCACUCAUCUUUUCUGGAGGUUUUAUUUAAAAGGUAACAUUGUUAUUAGCAGCAGAUUUUUAUAAACCAUUUUGUGAGGUCCCAUUCCUGCAAACACUCAAUAUCAUCUUGCACUAUUAGUCUCGCUUCAGAGACACUACUUAACAUUCAACAGCAAUUGGAGCCAAGGAGCAUUUGCAGAAGUCAAGGUUUGAAUUUCAAAUAUAAACUACACAGGGUACCAAUGGUGUAUGUCUUUGAGCUUCACAAACACAAAUACAUGUUUUAGCAUCUAAACUACAUUUUAUUUUGAUUUGUCCUUCUGUCUAACAAUAUUGGCAUAUAUAAUAGCUUCAGUGAAUAGGUAAUAGCCAACUUCAGAGACUGAAGGAUGUUCUUAAACAAAAUGAUGUUCUUAAGAAACAACAUCCAAUCCAUGGAAAGUUUAUAAUCAGAAUAAACUAAGGAAAAUGUUCUUUUGCAA